rnacentral:rRNA from 1 species
AUUGAACGCUGGCGGCAGGCCUAACACAUGCAAGUCGAGCGGAUGAAGGUAGCUUGCUACCUGAUUCAGCGGCGGACGGGUGAGUAAUGCCUAGGAAUCUGCCUGGUAGUGGGGGACAACGUUUCGAAAGGAACGCUAAUACCGCAUACGUCCUACGGGAGAAAGUGGGGGAUCUUCGGACCUCACGCUAUCAGAUGAGCCUAGGUACGAUUAGCUAGUUGGUGAGGUAAAGGCUCACCAAGGCGACGAUCGUUAACUGGUCUGAGAGGAUGAUCAGUCACAAUGGAACUGAGAAACGGUCCAGACUCCUACGGGAGGCAACAGUGGGGAAUAGUGGACAAUGGGCGAAAGCCUGAUCCAGCCAGGCCGCGUGUGUGAAGAAGGUCUUCGGAUUGUAAAGCACUUUAAGUUGGGAGGAAGGGCAGUAAGUUAAUACCUUGCUGUUUUGACGUUACCGACAGAAUAAGCACCGGCUAACUUCGUGCCAGCCGCCGCCGUAAGAC